UGGAGCUUGAUAGUAUGACAGAGGUAUGCAUAAUUUUGAUGUCACCCUUCUUCCUUUCUCCUUGCGCAUGUGGAAUAGUGAUUAGUUGCAAUAGCACCAAUAAAAAUAGCACUAUGAACUCUAAAAUUUCGGUUAAUAACUUGCAUUUUGAAAAUAAAAUAUAUAAGAAGCAACCAAUUUAAUAUAUAAAACAACAAUAAA
rnacentral:misc_RNA from 1 species